rnacentral:rRNA from 1 species
GAUGAACGCUGGCGGCGUGCUUAACACAUGCAAGUCGAACGGAAAGGCCCAAGCUUGCUUGGGUACUCGAGUGGCGAACGGGUGAGUAACACGUGGGUGAUCUGCCCUGCACUUCGGGAUAAGCCUGGGAAACUGGGGCUAAUACCGGAUAGGACCUCAUGUUGGAUGGUGGGGUGGAAAGUUUUUCGGUGUGGGAUGAGCUCGCGGCCUAUCAGCUUGUUGGUGGGGUAGUGGCCUACCAAGGCGUCGACGGGUAGCCGGCCUGAGAGGGUGUACGGCCACAUUGGGACUGAGAUACGGCCCAGACUCCUACGGGAGGCAGCAGUGGGGAAUAUUGCACAAUGGGCGCAAGCCUGAUGCAGCGACGCCGCGUGGGGGAUGACGGCCUUCGGGUUGUAAACUCCUUUCGCUAGGGACGAAGCGCAAGUGACGGUACCUGGAGAAGAAGCACCGGCUAACUACGUG